rnacentral:rRNA from 1 species
AUGUCAAAAACAAGUGUGAGGGGAUUAGACGAUCUAUCUUCCUACAUUUGUAUCAGAGCUAAGUUAUCUUCAAAUAACAACAAUAAAUAUCCCAAUGCUGGAAAGCGAGAAAUCUUGAAAUUCAUUAGGUUUCCUUUAAGUGGAAAGGAUCCAAAUGAGCAUCAAAUGCGUACAAGUUUUGCUGCAUUAUUUCGGAAGAACUUACCAGGAGAAUGGUUUGGUCGGGAUUUCAUGUUAUUUACGGAGAUGAUGGGAGGUGUGGUGUACAGCCUACAGGUCGUAAUAGAUCACCCAGUAUUAAAGUGUGGUGCUGGUAUUGCCAAACUGAUCAGAGCGUGCUUUCGUGAAGAUUUGCGUCCUAGGCAGAUAGGAAUCUUAGAGAGGGUCGUUGACAUUGCCAAAUACGGUGGUCAGUCUUGGCACGCCCGUCUGAUACAUUAUCCAAUUUUGUUGGCCAUGAGUCGCUAUCGCACUGAAUCAUCGGAUAGCUAUGAUCUUCUAUGGUUCGCAAGAAAAGCAACUGCUCACUAUAAGGAAAACCUCAAUGCUGAAUUGAGAAGCGGUACAAUACAGAGAUGUCCUUUCAACAACAUACACCCAAGUUUCAUUGUUAUGACAUUGUAUCCCGGGCUGGUCUCCGAUUUGUAUGAGCUGUAUUUGAAUCACGAAUAUCUCAACGUGAUAGUGUAA